UGUCCCAUCCCUCCGCCGCUGCCGCCCCUUGUUGUCUCCCACCUCAGGAUCCUCCCAGAUCCCAUCGUCCAGCCCCACACUACCAAGGCUCCACCUUCUUGAUUUCCCGCAGCUGCCACCUCUCGAUCCCCAUCCAGCCUCCAACAAUCCAUCCCCGCCUUGUUCCAGCAGCCUGGGCGCUCGAGCAAGGGCCCCCGCAACCCCGCACCUUGUCCCGAUCCAGGAGGAGACGAGCUCCUCCCGUAUGCGCCUCCACUCGACCCCGUCGCCCUUUGCCUUCGUCCUGCACCGGUGGCCGAGCCGCCCGAGCUCCUCCUCUGUCUCCAGGACACAUUCGUCCGCCCGCAGCCGUCUUCAUCCGCUCCUACAGCCGCGCACGCACCCGUGGAGCCACUCGUCCAUGUUCAUUCCCUCAGUCGCCACCCGAGGUCCUCCUCCUCGCCACCGCUGCUCCAACGAGCACCACCAGCGCCGCACAUGGAGCCCCGACGCCCAGGAGCUUCAUCCUCCCCCCGCCUAGCCCGGAUCCAGCCAUCUCCGAAGCCUCCUCGCUGGAUCCCAUCGUCAAGUCCCCAUCCCUGUCGUCGCGUGGAGCUCCACCACCCAAGUCCGUCAUCCCAUCACCCGCUGGAGUCCUCGCCUUCGACCGUCGUCGUAUUCAUCUCAUCUGCCAGGAGACGAGCACACGUCGUACGUGUGCCCGUUGACCACGUCGUCAACCCAGUCGAGCGAGUGGGCCUCCUCCACGCGCGUGGGCCUCAGCCACAUCCAGCCCAGCCGGCCUGCCCAGCUCCUCUGCCUUGCCGGCCCUUGGCCCAUGGCGAGCUCCCCACAGCCCUCCACUAUAUUGCUCUCUAAGCGUUGUUUAAUCAUGUCGCGCCCAGUUCCUGUUUGAGCCCAUGCCCAGAUACGGCCCAGAGUAUAUUUUUUUAGACUCUGCGAUUUUGUCUAUUUUCCAGACCUUACGGUUUUACAGAAAACCCCUAAACUUCAUGCAUUUAUUAGCUCAUAAAUAUGCAUCGGAUUAAAAUAA